GACGAACGCUGGCGGCGUGCUUAAUACAUGCAAGUCGAACGGAAAGGCCCUGCUUUUGUGGGGUGCUCGAGUGGCGAACGGGUGAGUAACACGUGAGUAACCUGCCCUUGACUUUGGGAUAACUUCAGGAAACUGGGGCUAAUACCGGAUAGGAGCUCCUGCUGCAUGGUGGGGGUUGGAAAGUUUCGGCGGUUGGGGAUGGACUCGCGGCUUAUCAGCUUGUUGGCGGGGUAGUGGCUUACCAAGGCUUUGACGGGUAGCCGGCCUGAGAGGGUGACCGGCCACAUUGGGACUGAGAUACGGCCCAGACUCCUACGGGAGGCAGCAGUGGGGAAUAUUGCACAAUGGGCGGAAGCCUGAUGCAGCAACGCCGCGUGCGGGAUGACGGCCUUCGGGUUGUAAACCGCUUUCGCCUGUGACGAAGCGUGAGUGACGGUAAUGGGUAAAGAAGCACCGGCUAACUACGUG
rnacentral:rRNA from 1 species